rnacentral:SRP_RNA from 2 species
GCCAGGCGUGGUGGCUCACGCCUGUAAUCCCAGCACUUUGGGAGGCUGAGGCAGGUGAAUCACUUGAGGCCAGGAGUUACCAGCCUGGCCAACAUGGUGAAACCCUGUCUCUA